UACGUAGGGCGCAAGCGUUAUCCGGAAUUAUUGGGCGUAAAGAGCUCGUAGGCGGUUUGUCGCGUCUGCCGUGAAAGUCCGGGGCUCAACUCCGGAUCUGCGGUGGGUACGGGCAGACUAGAGUGAUGUAGGGGAGACUGGAAUUCCUAGUGUAGCGGUGAAAUGCACAGAUAUCAGGAGGAACACCGAUGGCGAAGGCAGGUCUCGUGGGCAUUAACUGACGCUGAGGAGCGAAAGCAUGGGGAGCGAACAGG
rnacentral:rRNA from 1 species